UUACCAACUUCCACUAUUAUAUGCAUCAACUCCGUAAUCUCAUCACAUAUGCUUUGUUAAUUGCAACUACAGAGAAAUUGAUGAACAAACAUCAAAAUUAGUUUGCCAAUUACAAACCAUAUAGUAUGUCCUCUGCUUAAAAGGUAAUAACACAUGUACAUGAUCUACAAUUCUUUGUUGGCAUACUAUCAGUAGGAGAACAGGAAUAUUUCCAGGAAACUGAUUGAUCCAGACAACAUCCUUCAAAACAAUGUGGUACCUGACAUGUAUACAUUAAACUUAUCGUCAGCAACUAAGAAUUUCCGGACAAGUAAAAUAAGGUGCUUACAAGAUGUCCUCACUAUCAUUUACUGCUUACAUACUUUGUGAUAACCCUGAUGAGGAAUAAAAUUCUUAGAAAGUUAAAUAUGAUUGAAUUUCGACUAUCAAUAUGAUAAUAGCCCAUCCAAGUGCAUGGGUCAACUAUCAAAAUACUUGAUACUCUUUGCAUGUUGUUGUUCUUGGACAAAAUCCUUACAUUUUCCCUCAUAUUUUUCAGGAUUAACUACCUGCAGUCAGCAUGCGUCGAACUCGCAAUGGACUCGACAAAAACAACAAUAGGUAUUCGUUACCACAAUAUAAAAACAAUUUUAUACCCAUUAAUUUACCUAGAUUAUUAAAAUGGCACCAAAAUCUAAUGUAGCAAUGAAAGACCUGACAAAGCAACCUCCAAACUUGCCACUCUACAAUCUAAUGAUAAUCAACCAGACAUCAUUAGAGCAGCAAUGAAGGAUGCUGCACGGAAAAGGAAAUAAAUACUUCAGCAGAAAAGGAAUCAGGUGCUUAUAAGAUGUCCUCACUAGCAUGUACUUAAUUUUUGUUGCGAUGUUCCCAAUGAGGAAUAGAUUUUAAUUUCUACAGUCAAGGUUAAAUGCCAGAUCUUUGCCUCCAGAAAGGAAAUACUGCUAACUUCCAUAUACUUAAUUCUAUCUGCAUGUUGUUGCUCUCAAACAAAGCAUUACAAUUUUUCCCUCAUUUCAGGAUUCACUAGCUGCACUCGACUUGCGUCGAAGUAACGUGGACCAAAUCAAAACAAUAGAAGGUAUUCAUUACCCCAAUACCAAAAAAUAAUUAUAUAGCCAUUAAUUUUCCUGGAUUAUUCAAAUGAUACCAAAAUAUAAUACAGCAAUAUAUUGGGUGAUCAAACAAUACAAAUACCUAAGCAAGGAACCUCACAGCUUGCGACAGUAGAAUCUAAUGAUAGUCAAUUAGAUAUUAUCAGAGCAGCAAGGAAGGAAGCUAGACGAAAAAGGAAAGAGAUACUCCAGCUGAAAAGGGAAAAGAAACGAAUAAGGACAGAAAAGGACAAUAAUGGCUGUGAAGUAUCAAAUAUAGCAAAGGAUGUCACUCAAGUUUCAAAUUUGGGAAAACCAAAUUGCGUUUGUGAAUUUUGCAAUGCCAUUAUGUGGCAUGGAGAGAGAAGCACAAACACACGUAACAUCACAGUUCCAAAAUUUGGUCUCUGCUGCAAGGAAGGGAAAAUUAAAUUACCACCACUGAAGCAAGCUCCGUUGUAUCUCCGACAGCUACUACGUUACAAUGAAAGAGGAGAGUCAUCCAAUUUUCGCCAGAACAUCAGGUUGUACAACUCCAUGUUCGCGUUCACUUCAAUGGGAGGAAAGGUUGACUAUGAAAUUAAUAAGCAGACACCUGGACCAUAUGUUUUCCGUUUGAAUGGCCAAAACAACCAUCACAUUGGCACUUUACUUCCUAAAGAUGACAUGACGAAACCAAAAUUUGCCCAAUUGUACAUACAUGACACAGAAAAUGAAGUGCGUAACAGGAUUACUGCAUCAACUUCAAUGGAGAGUAAGGCAAAGCCAGAUGAAAACAUUGUCAAAGGUCUACUAGAGAUGCUAGAUGAGCACAAUGUUUUAGUCAAAUCGUUUCGUAUGGCAAGGGACAGGUUCAAAAACCGAGAUAUUAAAGAUGUAAGACUAAGAUUGAUCAACAAAAGGUCGAAAGAUGGACGACAAUACAACCUCCCAUCUGCCUCAGAAGUUGCAGCACUAAUUAUCGGGGAACAAGAUGGAGAAAAUGAUGAAUUUGAUAUAAUAAUUGAGACCAAAGACAGAAUGUUACAGAGGAUUUCGGAGUUGCACCCAAGCUAUAUGUCAAUGAAAUACCCCUUGCUUUUUCCAUAUGGAGAAGAUGGGUUCAGACCAGAAAUAGAGUAUCAAAAAAAGAGAGGCGACAAAGGUAAGAGAAAGUAUGUAACAAUGCUGGAGUUUUAUGCAUAUCGCAUCCAACAACGUCUUAACCAAGCAACAACCUUGCAAAUGAGUGGACACUUGUUCCUACAGUUCUUAGUUGAUGCAGCAACGUGCAUUGAACAAUGGAAACUAAAUUGGUACAGCACAAACCAAGGUAAGCUGAGGACAGAACUAUACAGAGGACUGCAUGAUGCAAUAGAAAAUGGAGAUACACGAACUGAACAAGUUGGCCAAAGAAUCAUACUACCCUCAACAUAUAAUGGUAGCCCUAGAAAUAAGCAGCAAAACUACCAAGAUGCCAUGGCGAUUUGUCGUUGGGCUGGCUAUCCUGAUCUCUUCAUCACUUUUACAUGCAAUCCGAAAUGGCCGGAAAUACAGGAUAUGUUGGAUCUAAUUCCAGGCCAGAAACCUGAAGAUUGUCCAGACAUUGUUGCCAGAGUAUUCAUGUUAAAACUGAAGGAACUUAUGAAUGACAUAAAGAACAAGAAGUGUUUCGGACAAACAAUUGCGAGUAACUUUACCAACCAACUACAGAUUUACUAUUGCCUAGGUGAUUGUCCUAAAUCAUUUCUUCUCAAAUUUCUUUACUUGCAUGCAGUUGUCUACACGAUAGAGUUCCAAAAAAGAGGCCUCCCUCAUGCACAUAUACUGGUGUUUCUACAUCCAGAUGAUAAAGAUCCCAGUCCUUCCCAGAUCGACAAAAUCAUAUCAGCCGAAAUUCCCGACAAGAAUAGUGAUCCAGAUGGGUAUGAAGCAGUGCAAAAUUACAUGAUACAUGGUCCCUGUGGUCAAGCACACCCAAAAUCACCAUGCAUGGUCGAUAAAAGUUGUGCCAAACAUUUCCCCAAGAGUUUUUGCACUGAAACUACAAUAGAUGAAGAUAACUAUCCAGUAUAUAGAAGACGAGAUGAUGGCAAUACUGUGGACAAAAACGGAGUGAAGCUAGACAAUAGAUUUGUUGUGCCAUACAAUAGAAACAUACUGGUCAAGUAUCAAGCCCACAUAAAUGUUGAAUGGUGCAACAGAUCAAGGUCUAUAAAGUAUUUAUUCAAAUACAUCCACAAAGGAGAAGAUCGAACAACUGUAUUAAUAGAAACAGAAGAGCAACAAAGAGAAACAAGAGGUGUCAAAUUAACAAACAGGGACGACGAUAUCAAGAGAUACCUUGAUGCUCGGUACAUAUCUGGAUGUGAAGCCGCAUGGUACAUAUUUCAGUUUCCUCUUCAGUAUAGAGAGCCUGCGGUUGAAAGGUUACAAUUUCACCUAGAAAAUGAACAUGUUGUGGUAUUCCCAGACUCGAUGGAUUUAGAUAAAAUCAUAUCUCGGCCUAACAUAGAAAAGACAAUGUUCACAGAAUGGAUGACAGCCAACCAAUUGCAUGAGGAAGCUCGCAGUUUGACGUAUGCACAGUUUCCAACCAAAUGGACUUGGCAUGCAAAAGAGAAAGAAUGGAGGAAAAGACGUGGUGGUAAAAAAACAAUAGGCAGGAUUUACUAUGCACAACCAACAAGCGGUGAAAAAUACUACUUGAGAAUGCUUCUAAAUACCGUGAAAGGAUGCAGAUCCUAUGAAGAAACCCGAACAGUUGAUGGGGUUGUACAUCCAACAUACAAAUCUGCAUGUUAUGCUCUUGGGCUACUUAAUGACGACAAGGAGUGGGAUGACUGCAUCAAGGAAGCAUCCCAUUGGGCCUCUGCUCCUCAAAUGCGCCAACUUUUCUGCACAAUACUUUUAUUUUGCAAGGUGACUGAUCCUGCAAAGUUGUGGCAAACAAACUGGGAGUUACUAUCUGAGGACAUCCAACGUCGGCAAAGAAGAAUACUCAAUUUUCAGGCCCUAGAACUCAAUUCAUUGCAAAUAAAGAGCCUCCUCUUGGCAGAGAUCGAACACCUAUUAGCUAAAGGUGGUAAGUCCCUCAAAGAUUUUCCAGGAAUGCCACCACCAGAUAGUUCGAUUCUUCAAGAUAUAAAUAAUAGAUUAAUAAAUGAGGA
rnacentral:lncRNA from 1 species